UUGUCCCCAAUUUUAACCCGAAAUCGGAACCCGGUACGACGGGGAUUUUUGUCAUCACUAGUUGAGGUUCAUCAAUGGCAGUUCCUGGUGGAUUUUCCCAACUCGAUUAUAAAUAUUCCAGUUGAGAUCAGGAAAGCAAAAGAAUCAAAACCCUGCAACAACGCCUGAGCUUCAGAGCUUGUAUUUGAUUUCUUUAGAUUAUAGAACAAGAGGGAGACCCAGAAAGCAAUUUAGUCCCAUCUCUUUGAACAAUCCCAAAAUUCAGAGCCAUUCACUUCA